rnacentral:lncRNA from 1 species
UUUGAUUGUCCAGCUUGGACUGAGUUGUACAUUCACCUGACUGUGAUGAAGCAGCUGGUCCUGCAGCUCGAGCAGUGGAGUUUCCGAGUCUAUGGAGUUUUUCUUGUUGAUCCUCAGUUCAUGGUGGAGUCAUUCAAGUGUAUUUCUGGCAUCUUGGCAGUCCUGAGUGCCAUGCUCUCUCUAUAAAUUCCGCAAGUUAACAUCGUGAUCAAAAUGUAGCUGCAGAGUAAAAAAGCUAAAAAGGAAACUGUAAGUUUCUAGAUCUAGACAUGGAUUCCUUAUUUGAUGAUUCUACAAGUGGCUUAAGAAGCAAAGAAUUCAAAAAAGUAACUAAAGUUGUAUGUGGGCUGAUGACUGCAGCAUAGUUCUCUUCUUACCUUAUGAUCAGUCAGAUGAAGAAAGUAUGAACAUUGUAUUAUAGCAUAUUGAUUUAGCCAUUCAAUGUGGAGAAGAUUCAACAUUUAAAUAACCAAAGGAAUAUGAAAAUGAAUCUUCUUCUAUGUUUGAGGAAUAUUUUCAAGAACACCAGGAUGAA